CUACGGGCUGCACCAGUGGGGAAUAUUGCACAAUGGGGGGAACCCUGAUGCAGCAAUGCCGCGUGAAGGAUGAAGUAUUUCGGUAUGUAAACUUCUUUCAGUAGGGAAGAAACAAAUGACGGUACCUACAGAAGAAGCCCCGGCUAACUAUGUGCCAGCAGCCGCGGUAAUACAUAGGGGGCAAGCGUUAUCCGGAUUUACUGGGUGUAAAGGGUGCGUAGGCGGCAUGAUAAGUCAGGUGUGAAAACCCGGGGCUCAACUCCGGGAAUGCACUUGAAACUAUUAAGCUAGAGUACAGGAGAGGUAAGCGGAAUUCCUAGUGUAGCGGUGAAAUGCGUAGAUAUUAGGAAGAACACCAGUGGCGAAGGCGGCUUACUGGACUGAAACUGACGCUGAGGCACGAAAGCGUGGGGAGCGAACAGGAUUAGAUACCCUGGUAGUC
rnacentral:rRNA from 1 species